CCUACGGGUGGCAGCAGUCGAGAAUCAUUCACAAUGGGGGAAACCCUGAUGGUGCGACGCCGCGUGGGGGAAUGAAGGUCUUCGGAUUGUAAACCCCUGUCAUGUGGGAGCAAAUUAAAAAGAUAGUACCACACGAGGAAGAGACGGCUAACUCUGUGCCAGCAGCCGCGGUAAUACAGAGGUCUCAAGCGUUGUUCGGAAUCACUGGGCGUAAAGCGUGCGUAGGCUGUUUCGUAAGGCGUGUGUGAAAGGCGCGGGCUCAACCCGCGGACGGCACAUGAUACUGCGAGACUAGAGUAAUGGAGGGGGAAGCGGAAUUCUCGGUGUAGCAGUGAAAUGCGUAGAUAUCGAGAGGAACACUCGUGGCGAAGGCGGGUUCCUGGACAUUAACUGACGCUGAGGCACGAAGGCCAGGGGAGCGAAAGGGAUUAGAUACCCUGGUAGUC
rnacentral:rRNA from 1 species